GCGAAAAUAGUGCAUAUGGUUUGGGUAGACUACCCUUUGUUGUGCUUGGACGUGGUGGGGUGGUGUGAUUGUUGAGUCCAAUGGAGGGGGAAGAAGAUGAGGUGGUUCAGUGUGGUGGGCGAGGAAGAGGAUGAAAGGGUGGCAGUGGUUGUACGAGGUGGUGGCUAGGUGAUAACUGUGCUUGGACGUGGUGGGGUGGUGAUAUGCAUCGGUGGAGAAGUUACUUGCAGUCGCUGAAGUUGCUGGAGGAGUUGUGUGUCUCCACUGCUGGUGAAGGUGGUCAGUCGGAGUUGAUGGUUUUUUUGCAGGAGUUAUGCUACGAAUCCCAUGCCCUCAAACUCUUCUAUGAAUCUCCAUCUUUUACCACCUUUAACAUGGAAAGGCAAAACCAUAGAACCUUUAAUGCAAAGUAAGCAGUUAUUUUAUACUCCACAAAGCCAUGCCAGUGUUCUAAAGCCUAAUUGGAAGUCCAAAGUUAUGGAAUGUCUUUAUGGUUCCAUCACAAC